rnacentral:sRNA from 1 species
GUCACGGGAUCGUUAGCAGAGUCAUAAUGACGCCCCACUUCCGCCCAGCGACCGCCCCUCCCAUCUAGCAUAAAGUUCGUGUGCGUUGGCCCGGUCCUUUCGGUUCCGGAUUCCUCAGCCCCCAGCCCCCCGGGGUCGUCAGGAUCGGGCCUAUUCGCACGCAAAGACAAAGGGCCAACGUAAGUUGGUCCUUUU